UAUGGGUAUAAUGAACAGUUUCAUUAAUGAUAUAUUUGAAAAGCUUGCUCAGGAAGCAUCUAGAUUGGCUAGGAUUAAUAAGAAGCCUACGAUUACAUCUAGGGAAAUUCAGACUGCCGUAAGACUUGUUUUGCCUGGUGAAUUGGCUAAGCAUGCUGUAUCUGAAGGAACUAAGGCUGUUACUAAGUUUACUAGCAAUUAGGGCUUGAAUUUGGGGAUUUUUUUGUGAUUUAGGUCAAUGUAAAGUAUGUUUUAUUUUUAUAUGUAAGUGGCCUUAAAAAUAUGA
rnacentral:misc_RNA from 1 species